UCCCCAAUCUACUACUUUUCUCUACACAGAUCCAAGCCACUGUAGUCACUACAGUGUGUCACUGUGUGUCUGUGCCGUAUGUAACGAGAGAGAGAGAAACUGAUUUAAGAGGAGCACUGCUAGAAGAGAGGCUGACCCCCUGGACUGAGGAGGGGAGGUUGUUGGCAAAGAGCCAGCUCUGGCCUCAUCCAUCCGGCAGAAUGACAGAGGCACUGUUUGACCUGGAGGAAGAGGGGAUGAAGGAGCUGCUGGCGAUGUGCCUGAGGCGGUGAUGUGCACGCUGAGGACGCCGGGGCGAGAGGACCGGGAAGAGAAACGUCCGCCUGCUGCGACCUGGCAAGUACCCAGUGGGACUUUUCAUAAGAUAACUUGACACACUCCCCCGACAGCCCUCAUCCCUCUAGGUCUGGACAGGAACAGGCCAUGGUCAACCACAGCUCCCCGGCAGGCUUCCUCCUUCUGGGCUUCUCUGAACACCCAGAGCUCGAGAGACUCCUCUUCGCGGUUGUCUUCGCUUCCUACCUCCUGACUCUAGCUGGCAACACACUCAUCAUCCUGCUGUCCGCGCUGGACCCCAGGCUCCACUCCCCGAUGUACUUUUUCCUCUCCAACCUCUCCUUCUUGGACCUCUGUUUCACCACGAGCUGUGUCCCCCAGAUGCUGGCCCACCUGUGGGGCCCACAGAAGACCAUCAGCUUCCUUGGCUGUGCUGUCCAGCUCUUCAUCUUCCUGCUCCUGGGGACCACUGAGUGUGUCCUCCUGACAGUGAUGGCCUUUGACCGCUAUGUGGCUGUCUGCCAACCCCUCCACUAUGCCACCAGCAUGCACCCCCGCCUGUGCCGGCAGCUGGCCGCAGUGGCCUGGGUGAUGGGUCUGGUCCAAUCGAUAGUCCAGACACCACCCACACUCCGCCUGCCCUUCUGCCCCCACCGGCAGAUAGAUGACUUUGUAUGUCAAGUCCCUUCUCUAAUUCGACUCUCCUGUGGGGACACCACCUUCAAUGGAAUUCAAUUAGCUGUGUCCAGUGUCAUCUUCCUGGUCAUGCCACUCGCCCUCAUUCUUAUCUCUUACGGUGCCAUCGCCCGGGCAGUGCUGAGGAUCAGCUCUGCCACAGCAUGGAGGAAGGCCCUGGGGACCUGCUCCUCCCAUCUCGCUGUGGUCACCCUCUUCUACAGCUCGGGCAUUGCCGUCUACCUCCAGCCCAAAAGUCCCUAUGCCCAGAGGAGGGGCAAGUUCUUUGGUCUCUUCUAUGCGGUGGGCAUCCCUUCACUUAACCCUCUCAUAUACACCCUGAGGAACAAGGAGGUCAAGGGGGCGCUCGGGAGGUUGCUGGGGCAGGAUGGGGACUCCAGGGAGAGCUGAAGGAGAGAUGCUUCAUGUGCUUUCAAUGAGAGGAUAUUUUUUAUUCUUUUUUGAGCAAGUUUGAGUUCUCCAGUCUACAGCCUUCUUAUACCAAUCCAAGGCACUACAGCAGAGGUAAGAAAACAGCCCAAGAGUACAGAAGACAGAGCCUGGAGAUAGAUUGCUGCCUGGUGGGAAGGUGGACAAGAUCUCUUCUUCCAGGACCAUGAGCGUUCAAGGGCCCCACUGUCAGGCACCUCCAGAUGACACCUACACCAUGGCCUGCAGGCUCCCACCAGACUUCCAGGGUCUCAGCAGUAGGGCAAAGCAAAGACUAACCACCUGAGUUCUCCACUCCCAGGCAGAAUGUACCAACCCUGUCUUUUAUUUGCUGUAUCCUGAUGCUUUGACAUCUGGGGUCUUGUUGACCCUAGAGGAACAUCCUCCAGGAUCAGCUCAUUCCUAGAGGUGGUAAACAGAUCACCCUGAGCGUCAAUUUUCAAAUGCAAAUCAACCAAUUCAGAGCUCAUAUCCUAACCACCACCUUUAUCAAGCCCUCACCUUCCAGGCUAGCUACCAUCCACCCCCAAUCAAUACACAGCCAGGUAGGGACAACCAGAAACACCCCCUAUGUCUGAGCCACUGAAACUGUACACGCUAGUCAUUCCUAAACCACUGAAACUGUACACGCUAGUCACUCUUAAAACCUCAACAAAAACCGCAUGAAAGGCUCUUGCCCAUAGUACCCCCUCUUCUCUGCCUAGGACCAACUCCGCAGCCUCCUUCUGUGGCCUGGCAUGACGUGGCAAGACCUCCUCUUGGGGUCUGCAACUAACUAACCAUCUUUUCU